AUGGAACUGAAUUCAAUACUUUCAACACCAUAAGAUGGCUUAUUUGCUUGAAACAUUUGAUCACUUUGUUAGUUUUAAUAAAAUUCCAGCAAUAGUUAUUUGGAGAAAAUGCCCAUAUUUUGCUCGCUUCUAGCCCCACCUCUUUUAGCUCAAUUUUUAUGAGUAACCUUGUAGUUCUUGAGUUCUCGGUGUAAACUGUACAAAAAUGAUAAUAGGAGGUUGAUUAAUCGAUUGUUAAUCUGUUUUUCCAGCAAGCUUUCAUUUGGUGAAAACAAUCUUUUUUUUUUUUAUAUUACUGUUUCAGUGAGUUCUUCGGAUUAUUUAGUUUUGAUGAUUAUUAGAUUAGAAAAGGGUCUAGGACAUGAGCAAUGGAAACAUAAGUAUGAUUUGAAAAUUGGAAAGAUGUUUUGUUUGGGAGGACCAACCUUCGAAAGCUGAUUUUGUUCUUCUUUUGUAGCGUGGAUGGCCCUUGGUUGCUGGCUCCGAGAACUUGGGAAUUCGGAAGCUUCGAAUCCCCAAAGUUUCGGCUAGAAGAGCUUUGUAUUUUCUGUUUAUUUUGGCCAAUUUUCUUUUGUAAUGGGAUUGUGUAAUAUGAUUGGGGCGUAGUGGUAAUGGGGUGUAGAGAGAUUGCUUGUGGUGGGAUUGGGGUUGGUGUUUCUCGUUGUAAUCGGUAGGUCCUCUCUUUUUCUUCCCCCCUCUCGAAAGAAAUUCGAUGGUCCUUUUAAAUGAACAAAGGGGGCUCCCACCUCCCUUGAAAACAAAUCACAACUCAACA
rnacentral:lncRNA from 1 species